GACGAACGCUGGCGGCGUGCUUAACACAUGCAAGUCGAACGGAAAGGCUCCAGCUUGCUGGAGUACUCGAGUGGCGAACGGGUGAGUAACACGUGGGUAAUCUGCCCUGCACUCUGGGAUAAGCCUGGGAAACUGGGUCUAAUACUGGAUAUGACCUUUCUCCUUAUGGGGUUUGGUGGAAAGUUUUUCGGUGUAGGAUGAGCCCGCGGCCUAUCAGCUUGUUGGUGGGGUGAUGGCCUACCAAGGCGACGACGGGUAGCCGGCCUGAGAGGGUGAUCGGCCACAUUGGGACUGAGAUACGGCCCAGACUCCUACGGGAGGCAGCAGUGGGGAAUAUUGCACAAUGGGCGGAAGCCUGAUGCAGCGACGCCGCGCGAGGGAUGACGGCCUUCGGGUUGUAAACCUCUUUCAGCAGGGACGAAGCGUAAGUGACGGUACCUGCAGAAGAAGCACCGGCUAACUAUGUG
rnacentral:rRNA from 1 species